GUGAGGAAUAUUGGUCAAUGGGCGGCAGCCUGAACCAGCCAUCCCGCGUGAAGGAAGAAUGCGCUAUGCGUUGUAAACUUCUUUUUCAGGGGGAUAAAAUUUUGUAUGUAUACAGAACUGAAGGUACCCUGAGAAUAAGCAUCGGCUAACUCCGUGCCAGCAGCCGCGGUAAUACGGAGGAUGCGAGCGUUAUCCGGAUUUAUUGGGUUUAAAGGGUGCGUAGGCGGAAUAAUAAGUCAGUGGUGAAACCCUGCAGCUUAACUGUAGACUUGCCAUUGAUACUGUUUUUCUUGAGUAUGGUCAAGGCAGGCGGAAUGUGUAAUGUAGCGGUGAAAUGCUUAGAUAUUACACAGAACACCGAUAGCGAAGGCAGCUUGCUGGGCCGUUACUGACGCUGAUGCACGAAAGCGUGGGGAUCGAACAGGAUUAGAUACCCCUGUAGUCC
rnacentral:rRNA from 1 species